rnacentral:rRNA from 1 species
UGGGGAAUUUUGCACAAUGGGGGAAACCCUGAUGCAGCGACGCCGCGUGAUUUAGAAGGCCUUCGGGUUGUAAAAAUCUUUUCUAUGGGAAGAAAAUGACAGUACCAUAGGAAUAAGGACCGGCUAAUUACGUGCCAGCAGCCGCGGUAAUACGUAAGGUCCGAGCGUUGUCCGGAAUCAUUGGGCGUAAAGGGUACGUAGGCGGGUAAGCAAGUUAGAAGUGAAAUCCUGUAGCUCAACUACAGUAAGCUUUUAAAACUGCUCAUCUUGAGAUAUGGAAGGGAAAGUGGAAUUCCUAGUGUAGCGGUGAAAUGCGCAGAUAUUAGGAGGAAUACCGGUGGCGAAGGCGACUUUCUGGCCAUAAUCUGACGCUGAGGUUCGAAAGCGUGGGUAGCAAACAGG